rnacentral:tRNA from 1 species
GCCUGGGUGGCUCAGUCAGUUGAGCAUCCGACUUUGGCUCAGGUCAUGAUCUCACAGUCCGUGGGUUCGAGCCCCACAUGGGGCU